rnacentral:lncRNA from 1 species
AAUAGAGUAGUGAGAGGAAAAAUAUAGAGAGAAAAAUUAGUUUCUCCUUAUGAGGUUUCUCUUACGUAGUGUUAGUGUUUGUAUUCUCCUAUUUAUAAGAGAGAGUGGUAAUUGUACUCUCCUUAUAAAUAGGAGAGAGGUCCUGUAAUUUCUUCUAGUUAUUGAAAGUUUUCUACUCUUAUCCCGUGGUUUUUUUCCCCUUAUUCGUUGAGGGGUUUCCACGUAAAUAUUGUGUGUUCAGUUCCUCUUUUCUCAUUUUUUAUUUUAGCUGUGUAAUAAUAUUUUGCUACUCUGGUACCCAACAUUAAGUCGGUGUUUACACAACAAACCAUGAGGUUCAUGUUCUAAAACUAACAGGUAAUAUUUAUGAGAGGCAACGGAGUUACUAAGAAGAAAAUGUAAUUUUCUUUGUCUAGCAAAUUGACAGAUAUCACAAGUAGCAUUCGAACCAAAUGUUGGGAUUUAUGUGAGACAUAUGAGAUAGCCUUUUGUGUGAAACAUGACCUAACCUAAAAUGCCAUAAUGCAGAAGAAGGAGUGGUAAUGAGUUUAUUAGCAGAAACAAUAUUGACAGAAGCAGUUUUAUUCAAAGAAGAAGUAAAGAAAUCUAAAUCUAAUCUAUAGAGACCUUCAUAUUGAUCAUCCAAACCAAUCAUCUUCUGGGAUUGAAGAUCCUGCAAGAAACAUUUAUCAUUAUGAAAAGUGAUAAAACACUUCAAAGAAUCACAAAACUUGGAAAUAGAAAUCAAGUUCAAAGUGAAUGAAGGUGAAUACAUGAUAAGUGCCGUAAAUUAGUUAAAUUCAUAGUAUAUUUGAGGCACGAUUGUUACUUGUUUUACAAGUUACCUAAGGAAAAGCAAAGAAAAUAUGAAUAAUUAUCCUAUUAUGCUUUUUAUACAUCACUUUAUCCAUUUGUGAAGGAAUUGAAUAGCAAGACACUAAGCAAGAAAGAAAAACAAAGAAAAUGUACAAAGGUCAACUCGCCAUGGCGAUCCAGUGGCGAGUCCAGGGCAAGCUGAGGCAGAGAGCACAAGAGAAACUCGCCCCCAAUGCGCAAUGGCGAGUGGAAGGCGAGAAAUCUCGCAAUGGCAAGUAGAAGGCGAGUCCAAGGCGAGCUGAGACAGAGAGCAAGGACCAGAGUUGGCCAUGGCGAGCACAAUCUCGCGAGGCGAGUUAAGGCGGCCAAAAACUCCUCAAGAUGUGGCAGAAACCCACUGGUGAAGAAACAUCAACUCGCCAUUGUAACACUCCGUUUCCCCAACGUAUAAAUGAUAUAACAUAAAUCAGAGUUCAUCAUAAACAG